rnacentral:piRNA from 1 species
AACCAUCAGAAGCACAGGAUAGAGUUG